UACGAAGGGGGCUAGCGUUGUUCGGAAUUACUGGGCGUAAAGCGCGUGUAGGCGGGUCUUUAAGUCAGGGGUGAAAUGCCAAGGCUCAACCUUGGAACUGCCUUUGAUACUGGAGACCUUGAGUCCGGGAGAGGUGAGUGGAAUUGCGAGUGUAGAGGUGAAAUUCGUAGAUAUUGGGAAGAACACCGGUGGCGAAGGCGGCGCUCUGGACCGAGACUGACGCUGAGGCGCGAAAGCGUGGGGAGCAAACAGG
rnacentral:rRNA from 1 species